UGAGCAAGGCAGCAGGGGAUUUGGCUGGAGAAAACAGAGUUUCUGACAUGACAGAGCAUGUUUUUGGAUAAUGGUUAUUUUUUCCCCUCUCUCCUCCUUCUGCCGUCUUCACAUUCAGAAGCUUCUCUCUGUACCAGUGCCAUUACUUAUGAGAUGGCCAUUGUUCAUUGUGAGGAGCUUUUGAAGUGAACGGAGAAAGGAGCACUGACUGUAGCAAAUUACCUGGGCUGAAACAUUUUUGACAUAAAUCCUAAGAGGGGGGUGAGCCACUUCUCCUGGAGGCCCCAUCGGGAGCGUUUAAUCUCGGGCCAUGAGAGGCAGCGUUGCUGACAGCCUGACAGGACAGCUGGACACGCUUCCAGGCAGCAGUGACGGACAUGCCAGUCUUCGGAGCAGGGCCACUGCCCAUGCAUCACCACAAAGCACCAUGAUGAUGGCAGCAGGGGGCAGCUGAAAGGGCUCGGAGUUGGCAGAGAUGCAGCAUGGGUUGACAGGCAGGCACUCGCUGGUGACAGAGCACCGGAGCUUCUGUCUCUUUGAAGUUUCUUCUCUGUAAGCAUUUCUA